rnacentral:tRNA from 1 species
UGGGUUGUGGCUCAGUGUUACAGUGCUCACCUCACAUGUGUGAAGCUCUGGGUUCGAUUCUCAGCACCACAU